GACGAACGCUGGCGGCGUGCUUAACACAUGCAAGUCGAACGGAAAGGCCCUGCUUGCAGGGUACUCGAGUGGCGAACGGGUGAGUAACACGUGGGUGAUCUGCCCUGCACUUCGGGAUAAGCCUGGGAAACUGGGUCUAAUACCGGAUAGGAGCCAUUUUUAGUGUGAUGGUUGGAAAGUUUUUUCGGUGUAGGAUGAGCUCGCGGCCUAUCAGCUUGUUGGUGGGGUAAUGGCCUACCAAGGCGGCGACGGGUAGCCGGCCUGAGAGGGUGGACGGCCACAUUGGGACUGAGAUACGGCCCAGACUCCUACGGGAGGCAGCAGUGGGGAAUAUUGCACAAUGGGCGCAAGCCUGAUGCAGCGACGCCGCGUGGGGGAUGACGGCCUUCGGGUUAUAAACUCCUUUCGCUAGGGACGAAGCUUUUUGUGACGGUACCUAGAUAAAAAGCACCGGCUAACUACGU
rnacentral:rRNA from 1 species